rnacentral:rRNA from 1 species
UACGAAGGGGGCUAGCGUUGCUCGGAAUCACUGGGCGUAAAGCGCCCGUAGGCGGCUUUUUAAGUCAGAGGUGAAAUCCUGGAGCUCAACUCCAGAACUGCCUUUGAUACUGGAGAGCUUGAGUCCGGGAGAGGUGAGUGGAACUGCGAGUGUAGAGGUGAAAUUCGUAGAUAUUCGCAAGAACACCAGUGGCGAAGGCGGCUCACUGGCCCGGUACUGACGCUGAGGUGCGAAAGCGUGGGGAGCAAACAGG